ACUGCUCAGUAACACGUGGAUAACCUAACCUUAGGACUGGAAUAACCCCGGGAAACUGGGGAUAAUACCGGAUAUGUGGGGCUGCCUGGAAUGGUACCUCAUUGAAAUGCUCCGGCGCCUAAGGAUGGAUCUGCGGCAGAUUAGGUAGUUGGCGGGGUAAAUGCCCACCAAGCCAGUAAUCUGUACGGGUUGUGAGAGCAAGAGCCCGGAGAUGGAACCUGAGACAAGGUUCCAGGCCCUACGGGGCACAGCAGGCGCGAAAACUUUACAAUGCGGGAAACCGUGAUAAGGGAACUCCGAGUGUCCGUCAAUGCGGACUGUCCGUAUGUUUAAAAAGCAUGCGAAGAAAGGGCCGGGCAAGACCGGUGCCAGCCGCCGCGGUAAUACCGGCGGCUCGAGUGGUGGCCACUAUUACUGGGCUUAAAGCGUUCGUAGCUGGGUUGUUAAGUCUCUUGGGAAAUCUACCGGCUUAACCGAUAGGCGUCCAAGGGAUACUGGCAAUCUAGGGACCGGGAGAGGUGAGGGGUACUUCAGGGGUAGGAGUGAAAUCCUGUAAUCCUUGGGGGACCACCUGUGGCGUAGGCGCCUCACCAGAACGGCUCCGACAGUGAGGGACGAAAGCUGGGGGAGCAAACCGGAUUAGAUACCCGGGUAGUCCCAGCCGUAAACGAUGCGCGUUAGGUGUAUCGAUGACCACGAGUCAUCGAGGUGCCGAAGGGAAACCGUGAAACGCGCCGCCUGGGAAGUACGGUCGCAAGGCUGAAACUUAAAGGAAUUGGCGGGGGAGCAC
rnacentral:rRNA from 1 species